UACAAUUUCGGUGUGAAUGCGGACUACCUAUAUCAAGAAAGACAUCGAGAACAGACAAAAAUCCUGGAAGAAUUUUCUUUUCUUGUGACUCGCAAGAGAGAAAUGGUUCUCAUUUUUUCAAAUGGCUUGACGAUGCGAUAAUUGAAGAGUUGGAUGGUUUCCGUGAUGAGUUACAUGAAGUGAAGAUGGAAAAGAUGAUGGAUGUUAAGAUGGAGAAGAUGAUGGAGAAGAUGAUGGAUGUUAAGAUGGAGAAGAUGAUGGAGAAGAUGAAUGUUAGGAUGGACAAGAUGAAUCAGAAUAUGGAAAAGAUGAAUGUUAAGAUGGUUGAAUACAGCAAUAUUGUAGUUAUGUUUGGUGUAGUUGUAAUCGGUGUAGCUAUGUUUUUUGGGUAUUACUAUGGAUUAUCCUAUGUUUAGAAAUGUAGAAAUGGUAAACGAAUAUUGGUGUAGUUAAUGAAUAAUGAAUGUUAUGUUAUUGACCCUAAUUAUA